rnacentral:lncRNA from 1 species
UGUUGCAGGAAUGGUCAUACGAUGACGUGGCGUGGCACGACGCAUGGAGGCGUGGGGAGAACGGCGCUGGAAGCUGUUGCUGUCUAGGGUUUCUUUUUGUUUUUUAGUUUUAGGCUGAUAUGGGUUGGGUAAAAUUGUUGGGCCAUACGGGUUUGUUUUAGGCAUUUGGGCUUUGUAAUACUGGACACUAUGGUUUUUGGACUAUUAUUUCAUUUGGUUUAAUAAAACGGGCCGGGCAAAUUGACCUAGUACAUACGAAAUCCGAUUUUAAAAUUACAUUUUCAUUGCACAGAAUUCAUAGGAUAACCCAAGGGCC